UGGACGUGCACGGAUUUAUUUCUUUGACUACGUGGCUACGUGCGUAGCGUGUCCGUGGGUUGCAGUGGAAACAGUCACAUAUAUUUUCUUACAAAGCGAAGCUUGACGCAAAAGCGUAGCCUCUCCGUGUGCCGCGGUGGAAUGGAGCCCUAAAAUUAAUAACACAU